rnacentral:rRNA from 1 species
UACGUAGGGUGCGAGCGUUAAUCGGAAUUACUGGGCGUAAAGCGUGCGCAGGCGGUUGGUUAAGUCGGAGGUGAAAGCCCCGGGCUCAACCUGGGAACUGCAUUUGAAACUGGCGGGCUUGAGUAUGGCAGAGGGGGGUGGAAUUCCGCGUGUAGCAGUGAAAUGCGUAGAGAUGCGGAGGAACACCGAUGGCGAAGGCAGCCCCCUGGGCCAAUACUGACGCUCAGGCACGAAAGCGUGGGGAGCAAACAGG